CGUAUCCAAAAAUAAUAAAUGGAUUGAUAGUUGGGUUAUCGAUAAAUCUAACAUCACCACCACCAGGUGCCCAAGUAUCAUAUAAACCAAAACUAAAUACGUUACCUGGCAUAGCUCUGGCAGCAAAUAGUAAUGCACCUAAGCCAAGAAAAAUUAAAUGAAUACCUAAAAUAGAUGUCAUUUUAUUUUUGUCACGCCA
rnacentral:antisense_RNA from 11 species